GACCUCCUUCAGCCUCGCUCCUCUAAUCCGUCUGUCUCAACGUCCACGCGUCUGGAGAAAAACUAAUAACAGAAUUCCAGAGACUCUGCAAAAUGAUCCUGACUGGAUUUCCCGGGAAUCCCUUCUCUUCAAAGGUCACCGCACAGAAGUGAUGCAAGGAAGAAGGCACAGACGCAGUCUGUCUGAGGUGAACUUUUUCUUGGCCCUCAGUGCCGAGUAACUGAUGGAGAUAGGGAGCAGGGAGGCUUAUCUCUGAACGCUUGGUGUUGGGAUAUGUAUGAUGUCAGACCAGUUCUCGUCAUGCUUUCUAGGCUGCGUGCACAGAUAAGCUUUUUUGGAAUCUGGAGAAGGUAGAGACGUGCGCAGGUAGCAAAGACACAAUUGAAAUUGGAGCAAGAGAAAGGGGUCCGUGUCUGUUUGUCUGUCCAAGUGUGCGCGUGUGAUGUUCUUCUGCGCCGCGCUUACUUCAGCUCACCCAACUCCCCGAGCAGUGACCGGAGCAGCAGCGGAAGCUCCUCAUCCAAAGCACUUGGAAUCCGCAGACGAGGCGAGGAGGUAAAGAGAGGAUGGACGGGAAAGAAAGGGGAGCGAUGCGAUGGGGGAGAGGGGAUGGAGCGCGAAGAAGAGCCGAGGCAGAGACAGACAGGCAGACAGACAGAGCAGCCGCCGCACAGGGAACGGCACAAAACGGAAACGGAGAACUGACGAACGGAUGGAACCAAACGAAAGGAGGAGAAGUGUUGGAUUGAGGGAUGAGAGGGAAGGCGGGGCCACCCAACUCUUCUCCCUCUCCUCCUCUUCCCCCCGUGAGAAUGCAGCGUGCACGCGUGUGUGUGUGUGUGUUUUCUUCCUCCUCAGAUCUGCUGUGCUUUCAUUCACACUCAAAGACAGGACGUAAACAUACCUGGCUCAGGGGGGCGUGAAGGA